rnacentral:rRNA from 1 species
AUUGAACGCUGGCGGCAGGCCUAACACAUGCAAGUCGAGCGGAUGAGUGGAGCUUGCUCCAUGAUUCAGCGGCGGACGGGUGAGUAAUGCCUAGGAAUCUGCCUGGUAGCGGGGGACAACGUUUCGAAAGGAACGCUAAUACCGCAUACGUCCUACGGGAGAAAGCAGGGGACCUUCGGGCCUUGCGCUAUCAGAUGAGCCUAGGUCGGAUUAGCUAGUAGGUGAGGUAAUGGCUCACCUAGGCGACGAUCCGUAACUGGUCUGAGAGGAUGAUCAGUCACACUGGAACUGAGACACGGUCCAGACUCCUACGGGAGGCAGCAGUGAGGAAUAUUGGACAAUGGGCGAAAGCCUGAUCCAGCCAUGCCGCGUGUGUGAAGAAGGUCUUCGGAUUGUAAAGCACUUUAAGUUGGGAGGAAGGGCAGUAAGUUAAUACCUUGCUGUUUUGACGUUACCAACAGAAUAAGCACCGGCUAACUUCGUGCCAGCCGCCGCCGUAAUAC